rnacentral:rRNA from 1 species
UGGGGAAUCUUGCGCAAUGGAGGCAACUCUGACGCAGCGAUGCCGCGUGCGUGAAGAAGGGAUUCGUCCCGUAAAGCGCAGUCACAGGACAAGAGAGAGACAGAGCCCUGUUUUGAGCCCCGGCUAACUACGUGCCAGCAGCCGCGGUAAUACGUAGGGGGCGAGCGUUGUCCGGAAUUACUGGGCGUAAAGGGCGCGUAGGCGGCCAGAGAGGCCUUUUGUAAAAGCCCCGGUCCCAAACCGGGAGGGCAGGAGGAACCAGCUGGCUGGAGUCUUCUAGAGGCAGGCAGAAUUCCUGGUGUAGCGGUGAAAUGCGCAGAGAUCAGGAGGAAUACCCGAGGCGAAAGCGGCCUGCUGGGGAGAGACUGACGCUAAGGCGCGAGAGCGUGGGGAGCAAACA